CCCACUUAGUUUAAACAUAUCAUAAGGAACUAACAAAGAUUUCCCUAAUAGCAAUAAGUGAAAUAAAUAGAGCUCUAUUUGGAAAUUAAGGUGUUUCUACACCUUAAAUUAUAGUUUGGAAAAGGGUUCUUAGUAAUAGAUUGAAUUUAAGUCCUUAGGAUGGGAUGUUAUAAAGGGUGAGAGUUGCUUUCGAUGAGUUAGGCUGUUUGGGAAUGCAAUUUUAAAUAGGUAGUAAAUACUACUUGGCUAAAUACUAGUGAGAGACUGAUAGUGCACAAGUAUUACAAGGGAAAGAUGAAAAAGACAUUGAAAAGAGAGUCAAAAAGUGCUUGAAAUUGCUAGGGAGAAGCAAAUGAAUGUCUUAUGCACCCUUUAAUUGUGUGUGGAACAAUGAAAGUUAAUUUGCCAAGCAAUGCAAGGGUUGUCUAGCAUAAGAGGGAAUAAUGGCUUGUGGGCGUUAGGAUCCUUAUCAAUGUUACUAGUGCCUCUAAAAAUGGUAGAGUGUUCUAAUAUAUUGCUAGAUGCUAGAACUUGGGCAUUCCAUUUAACCCAUUUUGAAAUAUAGACCAAAGAGUCUAACAUGUAUAUGAGUUUACGAAUGUUAAACCCAUAAAAAAUUAAUUUUAAGGUGCACCAUAGACCAACUUUGAUCUUUUGAGAAGAGUUUGAAUGCUAACAUACCUGUUAGGACCCAAAAGAUGGUGAACUAUGCCUAACCAAGGUGAAGCCAAAGAAACUCUAGUGGAGACUCAUAACAAUAAUGAUAAUCAAAUGCAAAUCAUUCAUCAGACUUGGGUGUAAGAGCAAAUGACUAAUUGAACACUAGUACCCUCUAAAGUUUCCCUCAAGAUAGUUGAAGUUUUUUUUAAGUUUUAUUGGGAAAAGUGAAUGGUUAGAGGUAUUAAAGGUACUUAUUCUCAAACUUUAAAGAAGUAAGUAGUUGGAUCUAUGAAUGCAAGCUCUGAGCAGGCCAUUCUUGGUUAAGUAGAUUGACUAUACUAUUUUUAGUUACAUUUAUCUAGGGUGUAGGAUCAUCUAUCCAAUAACCUAAUACCAAUCAUGAAUGCAUAACAACUCCACUUUUCCCAUAUCACCUCAUACAGUUUGGGUGUCUAGGGGGUACUUGUAUCGUGGAAGACAAGGAUUAGUAAAAAAAACAAAACUUGUAUUGCUAAUGCUUGUUAGCCAAUGUACUCAAGUACAUGUCCAAGCCAUACAUCAGAAGGGACUUUCUAAACACUGAACUCUAAAAGAGGUGCUCAACCUGAUUGCUUUCUAUCACAUCAUGAAUCUUGUUGUCUAGUCUAAUUGUUUGUAACGUAUGUGGUUUUCACCCUUUACUCUAUGGUGAUUUACCAUAGGAUAACCACGAAGUAGAAGAUAAACCGUCCAUAUGCCAUGUGUCACAUGCCACAUGUCAAUGUGUCUAAGGACAGUAGAGCAAAACUUGAGUUUUAAAGCCUUGGACCACUGAAUGAAGGAAUGGAGCCAAACUCCCAAGCUUGUAACCAAGGAGCAAAGGAAUCACAGUAUAAAGAAACCCAUAAGCAUUCAACCUAAGGAGUGAAGGGACAGAAGCAUAGAGUGGCUUGGAACAAUUCUAGAGCAUUCAACUUCUUAAUGCCAAAACUAGCAUGCAAAACAGAGCCAAACGAAGUUUGGUACUAUUUUAGCAUAUUAGUGGAUUAACAUUGGGAUUUAUGGGUAUUUCAUCAAUUAGCAUGGUAUAGAACUUGGGUUUAGACCCAAGCGGAUAUAGAAUAAGGACAGGCAUACAAAUGGGAACUAAAUUAUGCCUCAAAUUGGUUGGCCAUGCCCAAUCUACCCACUAUCCCUAUUAUAUAUUUAGACCACCCCACGGCUUUCACCCUUAAUACUAGAAGUUAAUCUCUUGAACAAGCUUGAAACUUAUUAGAUAUGGAAUAAUGUUAGAUUGUGAAUUUGAACAUGGGAAUAACAACAUCAUGUUCAAAAUAAUUUCUACAUACUGUAGGUAUGCCAAAUUAAUAGAUUUAGACACUUUUCCAUAAAUAGCUAAUAGAAUCAGAACGAAACUAACACAAGGGGCACGAUAGCAAGAGUGUUUGGUAGACAUGGUAAAUUAUCACUUAGUGAGUAUUGAGGGACUAAACUCAAUAUUGCGGGGGUUCCUAACACUAGCAAGUGCAAUCCAAUAUAUGAGUUUCUUAUGCCAAGCUAAGUAUUCUCAACAAAAAACACAUAGAGUCUCCAAAUUGUUUCCAAAUUUUGUUACAUAAAUAGACAUAUAUAUACUGGAUGAUGAAGUUAUUUUGCUCAAUUAUGGUAGCCUUAAUUGAUGAAUAGCAUAAAGGUUUCCAUUCGACCUCAAUGUUAUUGUCUUCUCUAGAUCAAAAAUAGAUCCUUUUGGAAGUGGUUGUGAAAGCUAGAUUGAUGAGAUGUAUCAUGGUUGUAGUGAGGCCUUAGUCUCCCUCCAAAGGUAUUACCUCAUAUCAUUUGAUUAUAUCACUUAUAUAAAUUAUUAUCAUUUUGUCAAAGAUGUUGAUAGCAAAUUCUUGCAUGGAUCCAAAUCUAACAUGCAUUUGUUUUUCCUCCAAAACACUUAGCUUUUGCAUAAAAAUCAUCUACCACAUUUUGUAGUGUAUUCUAUAUCCCUUUAAGGAUAGCCAUUAUGCAUAUAGUGAUUUCUGAAAAUACACACUUAUCUGUCUUUGUGAGCUAGCACAUUAUUUUUAUGCACCUUAUAAAUUCCUAUUAGAUACAGGAGGUCUAGUUGUUGAGGUAGGAUUUUCUAUAGAAAAGCAAUUGCUUCAUAAUUGUCUUGAGACUUUCCAAGACAUUAUUGUCAAAUACUAUAAGAGAUAAAUCCUCAAUACUCAUCUAUAUUAGUGUUUCUCCCUAAACUAAUACUUUACAAAAGAAUGUAGACAUAUUAGCUACUUUGUCAGUGCUACUGAUGAAUAGAUGUUGAUAUAUCGAUUCAAGCUAGCAUUGUGUCUUGGAGGUGGUCAUCACAUCUACUAUUGGAGUUAGUUGGCAAAAGUGGAGUGCCAAUCAAACUAGAUGACUAAAGUGCUAUUUAACAACCAUCUCAUUGCUUGGAAGUUCUAGAUGUACAUUUUCAAGAUGAUACUAAUAAUGCAAUUCCAAGCAUCAUAUAUUUUAGUGAUGAUUUUUGUGAUCUAUAGUGGCUUAAAGGUGAUGUGAUUAAGACUUUUAGGCUAAUACUAAUAUGCACAUGGCCGAUUUCAUCCAAGUAGCUCACUUAUAGCCAUCAUUUGCAUUGCCAAGUUUGGUGCUUAAAGGUAUCCCAAUUGUAAAGUACUUCCUUUGGCUUAUAGAAGUCAUGUUUAACUUGAGAUUCAUACCUCCAACCAAAUAUGAUAGACUCUAAAAGAUUAGGGUCCAACCUAAUAAAUUCCAAGCAUUCAAGCAAGCAAAACUGAUAAUAUGGGAUGAACCAAAAGCUAAGCUAUAGUGCCAAAGUGUGCACUGACCCAAAUCCUAAUUUAUUGAGUAAGAUAGCAAGAUGGUGGUCAUAGAAUUCAAAAUCCAUUAAAGAGUGUAUAAUAACUCACUUACUAAAUCAAGUAGCCUCAAAGAUAGAUAGCACUUAAGUGUGUGGCUUAUACCAAACCAUCAUAGUGAUUGUGAGAUCCUAAACCCUACCCUUAAAUAGGAGGGCAUGGGGUUCAUAGUGCAACUUUGGGCACAAGCCCAAGUGAAACAACCUUUGAUGUAGAUAUUGGUGGUAUUAUUAAAUAUUUAAAUGAGAACUUCAAAGAUUGAAAUGGAAAAAAGUUCUAUAUGAACAAAUUGAUUGAUCCUAAGAGAUGGAACCUAUUGUAUAUUCCCUUUCAAUAGGUUUAUUAACUCAAAAGACACCCUUAAUGUGUCCAUGUUGAUUGUGUGGAGUUGGUUAACUAUCAAUUAAUAUGAGAAAGGGAUAUAUUGUAAGUAAUCAAAGGGAAUGACUUAAAUUGUUUUUAUAAAAGGUCAAAUAUAGAGGGAAAGGGCCUAUAAAUAACAAUGCACCCCUUUUUUCAAUUAAUUAAAGGUCUUGGGAUAUUUGAGGUUUGAGUAGUAUUAGGUUAGAUGACUUCUCAGGAAAUCUAAAUUCAAGAGCUUAUAAUUCUUUGACAACUGACUUAGAACUUGAAUGAAUAAAAGGAAUCCAACAUUGUGAUAGUCCUUGUGGAUGCAAUAUGAUUUUGCCCAAUGCUCUAAAUAUCAAAGUGACAAAAUUCAACCAAGCCUAAGUAAUUGGCAAGAGUAACUAUAACUCUCUUAAAGUAGCCAAAUGCUUCAUCAUCUAGUUAGUGAUGCAUAUGAAUGGAUUAAUAAGAUUCCACUAUCCUUACCUAUUAUCUAGCGAAACCACAACCAAGGGAACAGACUUAA
rfam:Selaginella moellendorffii unplaced genomic scaffold SELMOscaffold_10, whole genome shotgun sequence.